UACGGAGGGUGCAAGCGUUGUUCGGAAUUACUGGGCGUAAAGCGCGCGUAGGUGGCUAUUUAAGUCAGAUGUGAAAGUCCACGGCUCAACCGUGGAAGUGCAUUUGAAACUGGAUAGCUUGAGUAUUGGAGGGGGUAGUGGAAUUCCCGGUGUAGAGGUGAAAUUCGUAGAUAUCGGGAGGAAUACCGGUGGCGAAGGCGACUACCUGGCCAAAUACUGACACUGAGGUGCGAAAGCGUGGGGAGCAAACAGG
rnacentral:rRNA from 1 species